GCCGGUGUAGCUCAGUUGGUAGAGCAGCGCAUUCGUAAUGCGAAGKUCGKWAGUUCGAGUCUUCUCUCCGGCACCA
rnacentral:tRNA from 1 species